GUCGAGUUUAGAUCCAGCGUCCGG
rnacentral:sRNA from 1 species